CCUGGCUCAGGAUGAACGCUGGCGGCGUGCUUAACACAUGCAAGUCGAACGGGAUCCCAGGAGCUUGCUCCUGGGUGAGAGUGGCGAACGGGUGAGUAAUGCGUGACCGACCUGCCCCAUACACCGGAAUASCUCCUKKAAAMGRGWGGUAAUGCCGGAUGCUCCAKUUGGAWGCAUGYCCUUCUGGGAAAAGAUUCAUCGGUAUGGGAUGGGGUCGCGUCCUAUCAGCUUGAUGGCGGGGUAACGGCCCACCAUGGCUUCGACGGGUAGCCGGCCUGAGAGGGCGACCGGCCACAUUGGGACUGAGAUACGGCCCAGACUCCUACGGGAGGCAGCAGUGGGGAAUAUUGCACAAUGGGCGCAAGCCUGAUGCAGCGACGCCGCGUGCGGGAUGACGGCCUUCGGGUUGUAAACCGCUUUUGACUGGGAGCAAGCCCUUCGGGGUGAGUGUACCUUUCGAAUAAGCACCGGCUAACUACGUGCCAGCAGCCGCGGUAAUACGUAGGGUGCAAGCGUUAUCCGGAAUUAUUGGGCGUAAAGGGCUCGUAGGCGGUUCGUCGCGUCCGGUGUGAAAGUCCAUCGCUUAACGGUGGAUCCGCGCCGGGUACGGGCGGGCUUGAGUGCGGUAGGGGAGACUGGAAUUCCCGGUGUAACGGUGGAAUGUGUAGAUAUCGGGAAGAACACCAAUGGCGAAGGCAGGUCUCUGGGCCGUCACUGACGCUGAGGAGCGAAAGCGUGGGGAGCGAACAGGAUUAGAUACCCUGGUAGUCCACGCCGUAAACGGUGGAUGCUGGAUGUGGGGACCAUUCCACGGUCUCCGUGUCGGAGCCAACGCGUUWAGCAUCCCGCCUGGGGAGUACGGCCGCAAGGCUAAAACUCAAAGAAAUUGACGG
rnacentral:rRNA from 1 species